UACGGAGGGGACUAGCGUUGUUCGGAAUUACUGGGCGUAAAGCGCACGUAGGCGGAUUUGUAAGUCAGGGGUGAAAGCCCCGGGCUCAACCUGGGAACUGCAGUUGAUACUGGCCGACUGGAGUGCGAGAGAGGGAGGUAGAAUUCCAUGUGUAGCGGUGAAAUGCGUAGAUAUAUGGAGGAAUACCGGUGGCGAAGGCGGCCUCCUGGCUCGACACUGACGCUGAGGUGCGAAAGCGUGGG
rnacentral:rRNA from 1 species